GAUGAACGCUGGCGGCGUGCCUAAUACAUGCAAGUCGAGCGAACGGACGAGAAGCUUGCUUCUCUGAUGUUAGCGGCGGACGGGUGAGUAACACGUGGAUAACCUACCUAUAAGACUGGGAUAACUUCGGGAAACCGGAGCUAAUACCGGAUAAUAUUUUGAACCGCAUGGUUCAAAAGUGAAAGACGGUCUUGCUGUCACUUAUAGAUGGAUCCGCGCUGCAUUAGCUAGUUGGUAAGGUAACGGCUUACCAAGGCAACGAUGCAUAGCCGACCUGAGAGGGUGAUCGGCCACACUGGAACUGAGACACGGUCCAGACUCCUACGGGAGGCAGCAGUAGGGAAUCUUCCGCAAUGGGCGAAAGCCUGACGGAGCAACGCCGCGUGAGUGAUGAAGGUCUUCGGAUCGUAAAACUCUGUUAUUAGGGAAGAACAUAUGUGUAAGUAACUGUGCACAUCUUGACGGUACCUAAUCAGAAAGCCACGGCUAACUACGUGCCAGCAGCCGCGGUAAUACGUAGGUGGCAAGCGUUAUCCGGAAUUAUUGGGCGUAAAGCGCGCGUAGGCGGUUUUCUAAGUCUGAUGUGAAAGUCCACGGCUCAACCGUGGAGGGUCAUUGGAAACUGGAAAACUUGAGUGCAGAAGAGGAAAGUGGAAUUCCAUGUGUAGCGGUGAAAUGCGCAGAGAUAUGGAGGAACACCAGUGGCGAAGGCGACUUUCUGGUCUGUAACUGACGCUGAUGUGCGAAAGCGUGGGGAUCAAACAGGAUUAGAUACCCUGGUAGUCCACGCCGUAAACGAUGAGUGCUAAGUGUUAGGGGGUUUCCGCCCCUUAGUGCUGCAGCUAACGCAUUAAGCACUCCGCCUGGGGAGUACGACCGCAAGGUUGAAACUCAAAGGAAUUGACGGGGACCCGCACAAGCGGUGGAGCAUGUGGUUUAAUUCGAAGCAACGCGAAGAACCUUACCAAAUCUUGACAUCCUUUGACAACUCUAGAGAUAGAGCUUUCCCCUUCGGGGGACAAAGUGACAGGUGGUGCAUGGUUGUCGUCAGCUCGUGUCGUGAGAUGUUGGGUUAAGUCCCGCAACGAGCGCAACCCUUAAGCUUAGUUGCCAUCAUUAAGUUGGGCACUCUAAGUUGACUGCCGGUGACAAACCGGAGGAAGGUGGGGAUGACGUCAAAUCAUCAUGCCCCUUAUGAUUUGGGCUACACACGUGCUACAAUGGACAAUACAGAGGGCAGCGAAACCGCGAGGUCAAGCAAAUCCCAUAAAGUUGUUCUCAGUUCGGAUUGUAGUCUGCAACUCGACUACAUGAAGCUGGAAUCGCUAGUAAUCGUAGAUCAGCAUGCUACGGUGAAUACGUUCCCGGGUCU
rnacentral:rRNA from 1 species